AGGUUGGUCUUGAACUCCUUCCUUCAAAUGAUCCCCCUCCCUCGGCCUCCCAAAUUGCUGGGAUUAUAGGCAUGAGCCACCAGACCCAACCUUGUAUUGUCCUGGAAGCAUUCAUCACAAUGAAACAUCUAUUCAAGGAGAGCUCCUAUAACUCUGGCUCAUAACAUAUAGAAACGUGAUAUACUUAAGAACAGGACAAGAGAGGACAGUAGGAGCGAAGCUGCAUUGGAAUAAAGAAAUGACAGCAGAUGUUAACUUGAACCCCCAGGAAUACAUUAAGAGAACCUGAAACUGGACAUGGAUGAAGCUGGAAACCAUCAUCCUUGGCAAACCAACACAGGGACAGAAAACCAAACAUCACAUGUUGUCAUUCAUAAGUGAGAGCUGAACAAUGAGAACACAUGGACACAGGGAGGGUAAGAUCACACAUCGGCCCUUGUUUUGGGGGUAGUGGGCAAGGGAGGGAGAGCAUGAGGACAAAUACCUAAUGCUCGCCGGGCUUAAAACCUAGAUAAUGGGUUGAUAGGUGCAGCAAACCACCAUGGCACAUGUAUACCUAUGUAACAAACCUGCACGUUCUGCACAUGUAUCCCAGAAAUUAAACCUCACUAAUCAUCAGUGAAAUGCAAAUCAAAACCACAAUGAUAUAUCAUUUCUCCUCAGUUAGAAUGACUAUUGAAAAAAUUAAUGCAAAUACUAAUAAAGAUGAGGAGAAAAGAGAACUCUUAUAUGCUAUUAGUGGGAAAGUAAAUUAGUAAAGCCAUAUGAAAAACAGUGUGGACCUUUCUCAAAAACACUAAAAAGAUGGAACUACCACAUGAUUCAGUUUUUUCCACUAUUAAGUCUUUAUCCAAAGGAAAGAAGGAAACAACAGACACUGGGGCCACAUUGAGGGUGGAAGUUGAGAGGAGGGAGAGGAUUGAAAAACUACCUGUUGCAUAGCAUGCCUAUUAACCUGGGUGAUGAAAUAAUUUGUACACCAAAAUCCCAUGACAUGCAAUUUAGCUAUAUAAGAAAACUGCACAUAACCUAAAAGAAACCUAAAAUAAAAGCUAAAAAGGAAAUUAGUAUAUAGAAGAAAUAUAUGCACUCCAUGUUUAUUGUAGCACUAUUCAAAAUAGCUGAUACUGCAUCAACCUAAAUAUCCAACUACAGAUGAAUGCAUAAAGACAGUAUAGUGUAGCUACACAAUGGAUUAGUAUUCAGUCAUAAAAGUGAAAUCCUGUCAUUCAAGACAACAUGGAUGAGCCUACAUAAUUAAAAUGAAAUAAGCCAGGCACAGAAAGAUAAAUACUCACACAUAUGAAAGCUAAAAUAAGUUGAGCUUAUGGAAGUAGAGAUUAGAACUGUGAUUAUUACAGGCUGGGAAAGGUAGAGGGGAGAGGACAGUAGGGAGAGGUUGGUUAACAGCUACAAUAUUAUAGCUAGAUGGGGGAAUAAGUUUAAGUGUGCUAUAGUAUUGUAGGGUGAAUAUAGUUAACAAUAAUUUAUUGUAUAUUUUCAAAAUGCUAGGAGAGAGGAUUUUGAAUCUAUCUAACACAAAGAAAUUAUAAAUGUUUGAGGUGAUGAAUGUGAGAAACAUGCUCACCUGUCCAAACCCGAAGAACUGACUUAGAGGCACGAAGAACAGUGAAAGUGAGACUUAAUAAUGGUGUUGCAAGAUCGGGCACAUGGUAGACAGGCACACAUGGGGCAGUUACAACAGGUAGUUUAUCUCCUAGCAUGCAAGUCCCUACCCCAGUUCCUUGAUGGUUGAGUACUAUGGGGUUAAAAUCUUCCCAGACAUCGCCUAAGUUUCAAUAUCCCCCUUAUAAGGUUAUACUCCCUCCCCUUCCCAGCUUAAGUUUUGAUUUCCCAAUAAUGAAACUUUAUUCCCUUUUAUGUGCUGACCCCUCAUCUACAUUCUGUUUGCUUAUUGUGAACUUCUAGGUGCAUAAGCCAUGCGGUUUGUUCCAUUUGCCUGCCAGUACUUACAUUUAUUGUGUCUUGAAAGUGGACCAUUUAAAAUGUUUUCUCACAAUGAAUAUGCUAAUUACUCUGAUUUGAUCAUUACACAUUAUGUAUAUGUAUCAAAAUAUCACUCUAUGUCCCAUAGAUAUGUAUAACUAUUAUGUGUUAACUAAAAAAAAAUAGCCUGAUGGUUGUUCUUAUAUACACUUAAAUUUGUUUCUCAAUCAUCUAUUCUGUUCUAUUUUCUGUUUAUUCUAGUAAACUCAGUAGUACACUAAAAUGACUUAUGUUGUGUUUUAACAAUGGAGCUAAUUCUUUUCCAAUACAUUGUUUUGGCUCCUAUUAUUAACUGUUGUGGGAAGUCAGGGACCCCAAACGGAUGGACUGGCUGAAGCCAUGGCAGAAGAAUAUAAAUUGUGAAGAUUUCAUGGGCAUUUAUUAGUUCCCCAAAUUAAUACUUUUAUAAUUUCUUACACCUGUCUUUACUGCAACCUCUGAACAUAAAUUGUGAAGAUUUUAUGGACACUUAUCACUUCCCUAAUCAAUACUCUUUUGAUUUCCUAUGCCUGUCUUUAAUCUCUUAAUCCCAUCAUCUUCGUAAGCUAAGGGUGAAUGUCGCCUCAGGACCCUGUGAUGAUUGUGUUAACAGCACAAAUCGUUUAAACAAUAUGAAAUCUGGGCACCUUGAAAAAAGAACAGGAUAACAGCGAUGUUCAGAGAACAAGGGAGAUAACCUUAAAGUCUGGCUGCCUGUGGGCUGGGUGGAACAGAGCCAUAUUUCUCUUCUUUCAAAAGCAAAUAGGAGAAAUGUCGCUGUAUUCUUUUUCUCAGCAAGGAACAUCCCUGAGAAAGAGAAUAUGUUCCUAAGGGGAGGCCUCUGAAAUGGCCACUUUGGGAACGUCUGUCUUUUACAGUUGUAGAUAAGGGAUGAAAUAAGCCCCGGUCUCCUGUAGCGCUCCCAGGCUUAUUAGGACAAAGAAAUUCCUGCCUAAUAAAUUUUGGUCAGACCAGUUGUCUGCUCUCAAAGCCUGUCUCCUGAUAAGAUGUUAUCAAUGACAAUGCGUGCCCAAAACUUCAUUAGCAAUUUUCAUUUCACCCCGUCCUGUGAUCUCACCCUGCCUCCAACUGCCUUGUGAUCUUUUGUUGCGCUUGAAGCAUGUGAUCUCUGUGACCCACAACCUAUUCAUGCAC